ACAAACUUGGUCAUUUAGAGGAAGUAAAAGUCGUAACAAGGUUUCCGUAGGUGAACCUGCGGAAGGAUCAUUAUUGAAACAAUUGGUUUGGGUUCGUUGCUGGCUUCUUGAGCAAUGUGCACGUCCAGACCACCCUUUUUUGAACCACCAGUGAACCUGUUGUAGACCUGAAGCCAUUCAAACAAGACAUCCGUUUGGAGUUUGGAUUGCUGUGUAACUAAAAAUGCCAGCUUUCUUUGAUUCGGGUUUAUGUUUAUAAACACUUAAAAAUGUAUAUUGUGACUGGAUAUAAAAGGCUUUCUAUGGUCUUUUAAUAAAAUGAAAUACAACUUUCAACAACGGAUCUCUUGGCUCUCGCAUCGAUGAAGAACGCAGC
rnacentral:misc_RNA from 1 species